rnacentral:misc_RNA from 1 species
UUUCCGUAGGUGAACCUGCGGAAGGAUCAUUCAUAAUAAGUGUUCUAUGGCACUUUUUUUAAAUCUAUAUCCACCUUGUGUGCAAUGUCAGGGUUGAUUUUUCUCUCGAGAGGAUCAGCCCCAAACAUCAACUAUAUCUCAACUCUUUGUCUGAAAAAUAUUAUGAAUAAAACAAUUCAAAAUGCGACUUUCAACAACGGAUCUCUUGGCUCUC